rnacentral:rRNA from 1 species
UACGUUCCCGGGUCUUGUACACACCGCCCGUCACACCAUGGGAGCGGGUUUUACCAGAAGUAGGUAGCUUAACCGUAAGGUAGGGCGCUUACCACGGUAGGAUUCGUGACUGGGGUGAAGUCGUAAACAAGGUACC